rnacentral:rRNA from 1 species
AUUGAACGCUGGCGGCGUGCUUAACACAUGCAAGUCGUGCGGUAACAGGCGUAGCAAUACGUGCUGACGAGCGGCGAACGGGUGCGUAAUACAUGGGAAUCUGCCCUUUAGUGGGGAAUAACCCGGCGAAAGCCGGGCUAAUGCCGCAUAAGAUCUUCGGAUGAAAGCGGGGGAUCGUAAGACCUCGCGCUGAUGGAUGAGCCCAUGUCGGAUUAGCUAGUGGUGAGGUAACGGCUCACCAAGGCGACGAUCCGUAGCUGGUCUGAGAGGACGGCCAGCCACACUGGGACUGAGACACGGCCCAGACUCCUACGGGAGGCAGCAGUGGGGAAUAUUGGACAAUGGGGGAAACCCUGAUCCAGCGACGCCGCGUGUGUGAAGAAGGCCUGCGGGUUGUAAAGCACUUUCGGUGGGAACG